GACGAACGCUGGCGGCGUGCUUAACACAUGCAAGUCGAACGGAAAGGCCCUGCUUUUGUGGGGUGCUCGAGUGGCGAACGGGUGAGUAACACGUGAGUAACCUGCCCUUGACUUUGGGAUAACUUCAGGAAACUGGGGCUAAUACCGGAUAGGAGCUCCUGCUGCAUGGUGGGGGUUGGAAAGUUUCGGCGGUUGGGGAUGGACUCGCGGCUUAUCAGGUUGUUGGUGGGGUAGUGGCUUACCAAGGCUUUGACGGGUAGCCGGCCUGAGAGGGUGACCGGCCACAUUGGGACUGAGAGACGGCCCAGACUCCUACGGGAGGCAGCAGUGGGGAAUAUUGCACAAUGGGCGGAAGCCUGAUGCAGCAACGCCGCGUGCGGGAUGACGGCCUUCGGGUUGUAAACCGCUUUCGCCUGUGACGAAGCGUGAGUGACGGUAAUGGGUAAAGAAGCACCGGCUAACUACGUG
rnacentral:rRNA from 1 species